UAGAGUUUACACAACUCCCAACCCUAUGUGAACAUACCUCUCGUUGCCUCGGCGGUUGCGAGUUGCCCGGACUGCCCCACCCGGCGGUCCAGGUAGCCCCGCCCCCGCCGGCGGCCCACGAAACUCUGUUUUCUCUGUAUCUCUGAAUCAUAAACUUAAUAAGUUA
rnacentral:misc_RNA from 1 species